rnacentral:rRNA from 1 species
UAUGUAGGGGGCAAGCGUUAUCCGGAUUUACUGGGUGUAAAGGGGGCGCAGACGGCGAUGCAAGCCAGGAGUGAAAGCCCGGGGCCCAACCCCGGGACUGCUCUUGGAACUGCGUGGCUGGAGUGCAGGAGGGGCAGGCGGAAUUCCUGGUGUAGCGGUGAAAUGCGUAGAUAUCAGGAGGAACACCGGUGGCGAAGGCGGCCUGCUGGACUGCAACUGACGUUGAGGCCCGAAAGCGUGGGGAGCAAACAGG